UACGAAGGGGGCUAGCGUUGCUCGGAAUCACUGGGCGUAAAGGGUGCGUAGGCGGGUCUUUAAGUCAGGGGUGAAAUCCUGGAGCUCAACUCCAGAACUGCCUUUGAUACUGAGGAUCUUGAGUUCGGGAGAGGUGAGUGGAACUGCGAGUGUAGAGGUGAAAUUCGUAGAUAUUCGGAAGAACACCAGUGGCGAAGGCGGCUCACUGGCCCGGUACUGACGCUGAUGUGCGAAAGCGUGGGGAGCAAACAGG
rnacentral:rRNA from 1 species